GGGAUAACGUUCGGAAACGGACGCUAAUACCGCAUACGUCCUACGGGAGAAAGCAGGGGACCUUCGGGCCUUGCGCUAUCAGAUGAGCCUAGGUCGGAUUAGCUAGUUGGUGGGGUAAUGGCUCACCAAGGCGACGAUCCGUAACUGGUCUGAGAGGAUGAUCAGUCACACUGGAACUGAGACACGGUCCAGACUCCUACGGGAGGCAGCAGUGGGGAAUAUUGGACAAUGGGCGAAAGCCUGAUCCAGCCAUGCCGCGUGUGUGAAGAAGGUCUUCGGAUUGUAAAGCACUUUAAGUUGGGAGGAAGGGCAGUAAAUUAAUACUUUGCUGUUUUGACGUUACCGACAGAAUAAGCACCGGCUAACUCUGUGCCAGCAGCCGCGGUAAUACGAAUCACUAGUGAAUUCGCGCCCGCCUGCAGGUCGACCAUAUGG
rnacentral:rRNA from 1 species